GAGUCAGGGUUGGGGGGCAGUUCCAGUAAGAUAAGCCCCCAGUAAGUGUCUUCCAAGACAGCCCUGUGGCUUCUGAAGCCCCUGCCUGGGGAGGGGGGGUGCACAGCAAGGGUCUGUCGGGCCCUGCCUUGGGCUUCUCCCUCAGCGGGCAGGUCUGCGCCCAGCCCUCCCCACAGGCAGAGAUCAGCCUGUGGGGAGCUCACCAGGGAGUCUCGCUCCAGCGUCCUGACUCCAUGGAAUUGAAUCCCGGACCAGCCACAUGAGCAAGGGAACGGAAUCAGGAACACGGGACCUUCGAGACCACCUCCUCUCAUGCAGCACGUGCCUUCAGCAUUCAUCCAAGGGGCUGGUCCUUUUUCACUGCUGAGUAUGAUUCCAACAGCGCUGCAAGCUACUCACCAUCGGAGGUCUUUGCUUCCCGUUUGAGGCAACUACAUGGUGACUCCCUGUGUCUUCAAAGCCACAGCGAUGUCCCCUGGGAGGCUAUACAAAGGAACAGGAGCUUUGCUAGAGGACCACUGACUGAUGGAGAUGACAUCGUUAUCCGAGAGUGGCUUAGCAAACUUCAUGAAGAUGACCAGGGGAGGCAGGGAGCUCAUCUGCCUGGUGUCCCAGAGCCUGACACGUCUCAGAUGUGGGCCUUCUUCAGCCUCGGCGACAUAUCAGCCCUGUUUGCACUGGAAAUCGGUUCGUGUGCGGAUGCCCCAGCCCUGGUACGUGGAACCCGAAGAGAUGCAGAGCCUGUCUAACCGUGCACACUGCCUCCACCCACGAAGCUGCCCCGCGUCCGAGCCAGACCCUCUGGAGGCCGAGACACGCUGCUCACAGGGCCAGGCACCCACUCCCUGCCCCCGACACAGCGGCUUUCUGCCUUCCCAUCCCUGUCCACUUACCCCGAGCAGAUUAUGCAGCCAGGUUGAUGAGCAUGAAAAAACAUCAUCUAUCCUGGGCUUUUCAAAAGCAUUUUUUUUUCUAAAUAUGAUUCAGCAUGCUCUGAUCCCCCACUGUAUUACGUCAAAUGUUCCAUGCCAGCUCUUAAAAGGACACUGUCCGGCCUGCUGGUGGGGGCUCACUUCUUUGACUCUGUACUGUCAGAUGAUUCCCUGCUCAACCCGCAGUGGAAAAUUCCACCUUCCAGAAGCUCUGAGAGAUGCCCGAAGGGGCCCCUGGGAGAACGUAGCACAGAGCGACUGGGAAAGCGGAGUAGGGACACAGAAGGCCCUCCCAGGAAAGCACUGUCUUAGUGGAGUUUGAAGGGAAGAAGAGGGAGCCAUGCCAGGUUCUAGAGGGAGAGCAUUCCACUAGAGAAAGCAGUAGCUCUCCAUCUCUCCUGCUGGGGAUGUCAUCAAUCAAGCUGGGUCAUGUUAGUGCCAUCGUAGAUGGUGUGACAGGAAGGCCAGCUCUUGCCAUGACCAGAGAGGAGCGGGAAGACCUAAAAGGGGGGGCCCUGUGAGGAGAGGUCUGUCCUCUCUGCAGGAGGCACCAGGAGCCCUGGCAGCAGCGAGCUCCCUGUCUUCCUUGCUGUCACCUACCCCGACCCUAGCACGGAGUUUGGCCCGCACUGCACCAACAGAGCUAGUUGAAUAAGAAAAUGGAUGAGAAGCAGGCGGAAAAGGGCGUAGAAGAAUCCUGCUGGCUCGUCAGGUGGCCGCAGAUGAACGAUCCCUGGCGUGCGGGGAUCACACUGUGCUUCCUGAUAAUGACUGUGAACUAUGAUUCAGUAAGCACUCACCAUGCUCGGUCCGUUCGCUGAGCGCUGCGGUAAUUGCCUCUUGUAAUCCCCCCAAAACACCUUGAAAGAGGUGUUACGUAUCUCCCCGUGGCACCCAAAGAUACGACGUCCCGCAACACUGCGCCAUCCACCCCACUCGCACGUGGAAGUAGACAGGGACGGGGAUCACAGCGGUGACCUUCCCCAGCGGCCCUGCACCCCACUGUGCCCGUGACUCCGUCACACUGGUGAAGACAUCUUCAGAGAACUGGCUUCUCUCGGCCUCUCGUGCUCCGAGUCCCGGGUUGCAGAGUCUAUGGCUUUCCCCAGUUUUCUUGCACUGUGUUUAUCCAUUCAUUUAAAUACAUUCACAGAGCUCC